rnacentral:rRNA from 1 species
AUGCAAGUCGAGGGGCAGCAUGAACUUAGCUUGCUAAGUUUGAUGGCGACCGGCGCACGGGUGAGUAACACGUAUCCAACCUGCCGAUAACUCGGGGAUAGCCUUUCGAAAGAAAGAUUAAUACCCGAUGGCAUAAUAGAACCGCAUGGUUUGAUUAUUAAAGAAUUUCGGUUAUCGAUGGGGAUGCGUUCCAUUAGGCAGUUGGUGGGGUAACGGCCCACCAAACCUUCGAUGGAUAGGGGUUCUGAGAGGAAGGUCCCCCACAUUGGAACUGAGACACGGUCCAAACUCC